rnacentral:rRNA from 1 species
UACGUAGGGUGCAAGCGUUGUCCGGAAUUAUUGGGCGUAAAGAGCUCGUAGGCGGUUUGUCGCGUCGGCUGUGAAAGCCCGGAGCUCAACUCCGGGUCUGCAGUCGAUACGGGCAGACUUGAGUGUUGCAGGGGAGACUGGAAUUCCUGGUGUAGCGGUGAAAUGCGCAGAUAUCAGGAGGAACACCGGUGGCGAAGGCGGGUCUCUGGGCAACAACUGACGCUGAGGAGCGAAAGCGUGGGGAGCGAACAGGAUAGAAACCCGUG